rnacentral:rRNA from 1 species
GAUGAACGCUGGCGGCGUGCCUAAUACAUGCAAGUCGAGCGAACAGACGAGGAGCUUGCUCCUCUGACGUUAGCGGCGGACGGGUGAGUAACACGUGGAUAACCUACCUAUAAGACUGGGAUAACUUCGGGAAACCGGAGCUAAUACCGGAUAAUAUAUUGAACCGCAUGGUUCAAUAGUGAAAGACGGUUUUGCUGUCACUUAUAGAUGGAUCCGCGCCGCAUUAGCUAGUUGGUAAGGUAACGGCUUACCAAGGCAACGAUGCGUAGCCGACCUGAGAGGGUGAUCGGCCACCCGGGAACUGGGACCCGGUCCAGACUCCUACGGGAGGCAGCAGUAGGGAAUCUUCCGAAAUGGGCGAAAGCCUGACGGAGCACCGCCGCGUGAGUGAUGAAGGUCUUCGGAUCGUAAAACUCUGUUAUUGGGGAAGAACAAAUGUGUAAGUAACUAUGCACGUCUUGACGGUACCUAAUCAGAAAGCCACGGCUAACUACGUG